CCUGCCAGUAGUCAUAUGCUUCGUUCAAGGGCUAAGCCAUGCAAGUCUCAGCGUACACGGCUUUCAACAGUGGGUCUGUGAAUGGCUCCUUACAUCAGCAGUCAUCUCCACGAUAGAGUGUGGUUGGCACCACCCCUGCCAGGUGCCCUCUUGGACAUCCUCCAAAACCUAGUGGCUAAUACACGGUCGACCCGGUCUGCCGCACACACGGCGCCGUCAGGGCUCGCCCUGCGCGGCGCCCAGUGGUGGAUUGCACCCAGCUGCUCGAAAGACCAGCGCCCGAACAGGGCAGUGUGUCGUGGCUGACUCAGGCUGGUCCAGAAGUGUGGAUGGACAAAAGCUCUGGCAGAGUGGUGGCCUCGCGCCACAGCAUUGCUUGAUCGCACGAACUUCUGACCUAUCAGCUGUGACUGUGGUGUAGUGGACCACAGUGGCUAUGACGGGUAACGGAGAAUCAGGGUUCGAUUCCGGAGAGGGAGCCUGAGAGACGGCUACCACUACCAAGGUGGGCAGCAGGCACGCAAAUUGCCCAAUGCCAAUACGGUCCUGGUGAGGCAGCGACGAACUGCAGCAAUCCCGCGUGUCCUUAGCGACAUGUGUGACUUGUAAUGGAUGCAAUCCAAAUACAGUGAUGAGUAUCAACUGGAGGGCAAGUCUGGUGCCAGCAGCCGCGGUAAUUCCAGCUCCAAGAGUGUAUACUAACAUUGCUGCUGUUAAAACACUUGUAGUCGGAUGCUGGGUGCAGGUCUGCCAGGUGGCCGGUGGGUCUCGGUGCCGCGGUGGCUCCUCGUGGGUCGCCCGUCCCGGGGCCUGCUGGAACUCAACCCCUGGUGGUAUGCUCCUGCACCCCCUGUUCAGAGGAUGGUGUGAAUGGCUCCUGCUCCAAGUCUCCUUCAGUGGGGAUCGAUGCGGUUGUACGCCCGACGCUCGUGUGCCUGACCAUAGGGGGCAUCGCCCCGUGCGGUGCUAUUUCCCCGGUCCACCACCGGAGUCCACCAUCAAUGUCACCGUGGAAAACUCAGUGUGCUCCAAGCAUCCUUGUGGCUGUAUGCCCGUCCAUGGAAUGUCAAAGCAUCGACCUGAUGUGGCUUAUGAGUUGUGCUGGCCUUGGUGCCCAUUCAGGGGAAUGCGGUGCUGGGCCCUGGCCGUCUCGGCGUCGCCCACCCUCGGGUGCGGCCGGCGUCGGGCGACCUGCGGCUCCAGUACCUGUCGGCCACGAUGGGACUGCUCGGGGUGAAGGAUAUGGCUGCGCCAGAGGUGAAAUUCUUAGACCGCUGCCAGAUCAACUGCAGCGAAGGCGCUCUGCAAGUGCAUGUUCGUCGAUCAAGAAUGAGAGUGUGGGGAGCGAAGAUGAUCAGACACCGUCGUAGUCCACAACUGUAAACGAUGCCAGCUCGGUGCUGAGAGUGCAAUUCGAAGACCCUUCCAGCGCCAUGCCCCCUGCAACGAGAAAUCCAAGCCUGUGGGUUCAGGGGGGAGUACUGUCGCAAGGCUGAAACUUAAAGGAAUUGACGGAAUGGCACCACCAGGCGUGGAGUAUGCGGCUUAAUUUGACUCAACACGGGGAAUGUUACCAGGUCAGGACGAUGUCGGGAUGGACAGAUUGAGAGCUCUUUCUUGAUCCUUCGGAUGGUGGUGCAUGGCCGCUCCUGAUUGGUGGAGUGAUUUGUCUGGUUGAUUCCGAUAACGAGUGAGAUCUCUGCCUCCCAAUAGCCCCAGCCUCGCAUUUGGUAGGGCUCGGCAUGGCCCUCCUCCCCGAAGGGGCAACCUGGACGGGGGAGACCAUCGCCGCCCGAGAGGCCCUGGGUCCAGCUUCUCUGAGGUGCUGUGCACGUCACCAAGUGCAUGCAUGCUAGAGCCAACAGCAGGUCUGUGAUGCUCCCAGAUGUCCUGGGCCGCACGCGCACUACAUUGGUCUGGUGAAUGUGUCGCUUCCCUCGCUCGUCGAGCCCUGCCCUGAAGGAGGGUGGGAAACCCCUGGAGACCAGUCCGUACUGGGGAUAGAUGCUUGCAACUGUCUGCCUUGAACGAGGAAUGCCUAGUAGACGUGGGUCAUCAGCCCGCAUCGAUUGCGUCCCUGCCAUUUGUACACACCGCCCGUCGUUGCUACCGAUGGUAGCGGGAUAGAGCCAUCUGGAGACCUGGUCGCCUCCGCGCGGCUGGGUCGAACUCGGGCGAUGUCCCGCUGCUAGAGGAAGCAAAAGUCGUAACAAGGUUGUUGUAGGUGAA
rnacentral:rRNA from 1 species